GCGGCGCGGGUCCCCCAUAUGCUGAGCGCCGGUCCCCUGGGCCCACUUUUCUUUCUCUAUACUUUGUCUCUGUGUCUUUCUUUUCUCAAGUCUCUCGUUCCACCUGAGGAGAAAUGCCCACAGCUGUGGAGGCGCAGGCCACUCCUUCAUCUGGUGCCCAACGUGGGUGCUUUCUCUAGGGUGAAGGGAGGCUCGAGUGUGGUCAUUGAGGACAAGUCAACGAGAGAUUCCCGAGUACGUCUACUGAGCCUUGUGGGUGAAGGUACUCUACAGCGUGGUCAUUGAGGACAAGUCGACGAGAGAGUCCCAAGUACGUCCACGGUCAGCCUUGCGGUAAGCUUGUGUGCUUAGAGGAACCCAGGGUAACAAUGGGGCAAACUGAAAGUAAAUACGCCUCUUAUCUCAGCCUUAUUAAAAUCCUUUUAAGAAGAGGGGGAGUUAGAGCUUCUACAGAAAAUCUAAUUACGCUAUUUCAAACUAUAGAACAAUUCUGCCCAUGGUUUCCAGAACAGGGAACUUUAGAUCUAAAAGAUUGGGAAAAAAUUGGCAAAGAAUUAAAACAAGCAAAUAGGGAAGGUAAAAUCAUCCCACUUACAGUAUGGAAUGAUUGGGCCAUUAUUAAAGCAACUUUAGAACCAUUUCAAACAGGAGAAGAUAGUGUUUCAGUUUCUGAUGCCCCUAAAAGCUGUGUAACAGAUUGUGAAGAAGAGGCAGGGACAGAAUCCCAGCAAGGAACGUAAAGUUCACAUUGUAAAUAUGUAGCAGAGUCUGUAAUGGCUCAGUCAACGCAAAAUGUUGACUACAGUCAAUUACAGGAGAUAAUAUAUCCUGAAUCAUCAAAAUUGGGGGAAGGAGGUCCAGAAUCAUUGGGGCCAUCAGAGCCUAAAUCACGAUCGCCAUCAACUCCUCCCGCGGUUCAGAUGCCUGUAACAUUACAACCUCAAACGCAGGUUAGACAAGCACAAACCCCAA
rnacentral:lncRNA from 1 species